AGCCGCAUGUUGCCUAGCUAGGUGCUGCACAGUAUCAUGGCUUCUUGCAUAUUUGGCCACUAUUAAAACUUUGAGUUGAGUUAGGUUGGGAUUUUAUAGCCAUUUACUUUAUACUCCUAAAUUUUAUAAAAAUAUUUAUUGCUAAAUUAUUUAUAUUUGUUAUGACAUUCAUGCUGACUUGAUUGGUUAAUUUGAACAUGAAAUAUAUUAUCGUUCCCCCCACCCC
rnacentral:lncRNA from 1 species